rnacentral:rRNA from 1 species
CCUACGGGUGGCAGCAGUGAGGAAUAUUGGUCAAUGGGCGGAAGCCUGAACCAGCCAAGUCGCGUGAGGGAAUACGGCCCUAUGGGUUGUAAACCUCUUUUGCCGGGGAGCAAGGGCGGGGACGUGUCCCCGCCCGGAGAGUACCCGGAGAAAAAGCAUCGGCUAACUCCGUGCCCGCAGCCGCGGUAAUACGGAGGAUGCGAGCGUUAUCCGGAUUUAUUGGGUUUAAAGGGUGCGUAGGCGGUCUUUUAAGUCAGCGGUAAAAAUUCGGGGCUCAACCCCGUCCGGCCGUUGACACUGGGGACCUAGAGUGGGCGAGAAGAAGGCGGAAUGCGUGGUGUAGCGGUGAAAUGCAUAGAUAUCACGCAGAACCCCGAUUGCGAAGGCAGCCUACCGGCGCACUACUGACGCUGAGGCACGAAAGUGCGGGGAUCGAACAGGAUUAGAUACCCCAGUAGUC